rnacentral:rRNA from 1 species
AGAGUUUGAUCCUGGCUCAGGAUGAACGCCGGCGGUGUGCCUAAUACAUGCAAGUCGUACGCACUGGCCCAACUGAUUGAUGGUGCUUGCACCUGAUUGACGAUGGAUCACCAGUGAGUGGCGGACGGGUGAGUAACACGUAGGUAACCUGCCUCGGAGCGGGGGAUAACAUUUGGAAACAGAUGCUAAUACCGCAUAACAACAAAAGCCACAUGGCUUUUGUUUGAAAGAUGGCUUUGGCUAUCACUCUGGGAUGGACCUGCGGUGCAUUAGCUAGUUGGUAAGGUAACGGCUUACCAAGGCAAUGAUGCAUAGCCGAGUUGAGAGACUGAUCGGCCACAAUGGAACUGAGACACGGUCCAUACUCCUACGGGAGGCAGCAGUAGGGAAUCUUCCACAAUGGGCGCAAGCCUGAUGGAGCAACACCGCGUGAGUGAAGAAGGGUUUCGGCUCGUAAAGCUCUGUUGUUGGAGAAGAACGUGCGUGAGAGUAACUGUUCACGCAGUGACGGUAUCCAACCAGAAAGUCACGGCUAACUACGUGCCAGCAGCCGCGGUAAUACGUAGGUGGCAAGCGUUAUCCGGAUUUAUUGGGCGUAAAGCGAGCGCAGGCGGUUGCUUAGGUCUGAUGUGAAAGCCUUCGGCUUAACCGAAGAAGUGCAUCGGAAACCGGGCGACUUGAGUGCAGAAGAGGACAGUGGAACUCCAUGUGUAGCGGUGGAAUGCGUAGAUAUAUGGAAGAACACCAGUGGCGAAGGCGGCUGUCUGGUCUGCAACUGACGCUGAGGCUCGAAAGCAUGGGUAGCGAACAGGAUUAGAUACCCUGGUAGUCCAUGCCGUAAACGAUGAGUGCUAGGUGUUGGAGGGUUUCCGCCCUUCAGUGCCGGAGCUAACGCAUUAAGCACUCCGCCUGGGGAGUACGACCGCAAGGUUGAAACUCAAAGGAAUUGACGGGGGCCCGCACAAGCGGUGGAGCAUGUGGUUUAAUUCGAAGCUACGCGAAGAACCUUACCAGGUCUUGACAUCUUGCGCUAACCUUAGAGAUAAGGCGUUCCCUUCGGGGACGCAAUGACAGGUGGUGCAUGGUCGUCGUCAGCUCGUGUCGUGAGAUGUUGGGUUAAGUCCCGCAACGAGCGCAACCCUUGUUACUAGUUGCCAGCAUUAAGUUGGGCACUCUAGUGAGACUGCCGGUGACAAACCGGAGGAAGGUGGGGACGACGUCAGAUCAUCAUGCCCCUUAUGACCUGGGCUACACACGUGCUACAAUGGACGGUACAACGAGUCGCAAGCUCGCGAGAGUAAGCUAAUCUCUUAAAGCCGUUCUCAGUUCGGACUGUAGGCUGCAACUCGCCUACACGAAGUCGGAAUCGCUAGUAAUCGCGGAUCAGCAUGCCGCGGUGAAUACGUUCCCGGGCCUUGUACACAACGCCCGUCA